GAAGAAUUCCAAGCUCAAAACCUUUUACCCCUGAAGAAUUCCAAGCUCAAAACCCUUUACCCCUGAAGAAUUGCAAGCUCACAACCCUUUACCCGGCUGAAGAAUUCCAAGGUCAAAACCCUUUACCCCUGAAGAAUUCCAAGCUCAAAACCUUUUACCCCUGAAGAAUUCCAAGCUGAAAACCCUUUACCCCUGAAGAAUUCCAAGCUCUGAAAAAUUUCAAAUCAAACCUCCUUUAUACCCCUGAAGAAUUCCAAGCUCAAAACCCUUUACCCCUGGAGAAUUCCAAGCUCAAAACCCUUU